AAAAGAAUUACAGCUAGAAACCCCGAAACCAAACGAGCUACCUAAAAACAAUUUUAUGAAUCAACUCGUCUAUGUGGCAAAAUAGUGAGAAGAGUUUUAGGUAGAGGUCAAAAGCCUAAUGAGCUUGGUGAUAGCUGGUCACCCAAAAAAUGAAUUUAAGUUCAAUUUUAAACUUGCUAAAAAAACAACAUAAUCAAAAAGUAAGUUUAGAUUAUCAGCAAAAGAGGGACAGCUCUUCAGGAACUGAAAAAAGCUUUAAUAGUGAAUAACUAACAAAACAUCUUUUAAACAGUCUAGGCCUAAAAGCAGCCACCAAUAAAGAAAGCGGUCACGCAACUAUACAAUUUCAAUUAAUUCCGUAAUUUACACCAACUUCCUAAACUUAAAAUUGGGUUAGUCUAUAACUUUAUAGAUGCAACACUGUUAGUAUGAGUAACAAGAAUUCUAAUUCUCCAGAAAUACGCGUGUAACUACUCGGAUAACAAUUGUUAGUUAAUCAGACUAUAAGCAAUAAUCACACUAUAAAUAAUCCACCUAUAACUUCUCUGUUAACCCAACACCGGAAUGCC
rnacentral:rRNA from 1 species